rnacentral:rRNA from 1 species
GGGUCAGUAGGUUGGUCGUGCCACCGGUACGUACUGGUCUCACUGAUUCCUCCUUCCUGAAGAACCGUAAUGCCCUUAAUUUGGUGUUGCGGGGAAACAGGACUGUUACUUUGAAAAAAUUAGAGUGUUUAAAGCAAGCUAACGCUUGAGUACAUUAGCAUGGAAUAAUGAAAUAGGACGAUCGAUCCUAUUUUGUUGGUUUCUAGGAUUGACGUA